rnacentral:rRNA from 1 species
UGCCAGCAGCCGCGGUAAUACGAGGGGUGCAAGCGUUAAUCGGAAUUACUGGGCGUAAAGCGCGCGUAGGCGGAUUGGAAAGUUAGGGGUGAAAUCCCAGGGCUCAACCCUGGAACUGCCUCUAAAACUCCCAGUCUUGAGUUCGAGAGAGGUGAGUGGAAUUCCGAGUGUAGAGGUGAAAUUCGUAGAUAUUCGGAGGAACACCAGUGGCGAAGGCGACUGACUGGACUGGUACUGACGCUGAGGCGCGAAAGCGUGGGGAGCAAACAGGAUUAGAUA